rnacentral:rRNA from 1 species
AUUGAACGCUGGCGGCAUGCCUUACACAUGCAAGUCGAACGGCAGCACGGGUGCUUGCACCUGGUGGCGAGUGGCGAACGGGUGAGUAAUAUAUCGGCACGUACCUUAUUGUGGGGGAUAACGCAGCGAAAGCUGUGCUAAUACCGCAUAAUCCCUAAGGGGGAAAGCGGGGGAACGUAAGGCCUCGCGCAAUUAGAGCGGCCGAGACCGUAUAGACUAGUGGGUGAGGUAAAGGGUAACUAAGGCAACGAUCAGUAGCUGGUCGGAGAGGACGAUCAGCCACACUGGGACUGAGACACGGACCAGACUCCUACGGGAGGCAGCAGUGGGGAAUUUUGGACAAUGGGGGCAACCCUGAUCCAGCAAUGCCGCGUGAGUGAAGAAGGCCUUCGGGUUGUAAAGCUCUUUUGUCAGGGAAGAAACAGCAGCUCUAACACAGUUUGCGAAUGACGGUACCUGAAGAAUAAGCACCGGCUAACUACGUGCCAGCAGCCGCCGUAA